rnacentral:lncRNA from 1 species
GUGGAAUUUCUUGUUCCUGUGGUUAGGAGGCUGGGCAAAAAAAAAAUAUGAUCAUCACAAUAAUAUUAGGUCUUGGAACCAUGACUUAUUACAUAAUCAGUUUAUUCACUCUACAUAAAGCAGCGGACUCACAAAGACACAUGCAUAUUGGAUACUACAUUAUAUGGAAGGCGUGCAUGCAUCCGUAACCGAUCACACCCUUAGCUGCACCUGGGGCUCUGCACGAAGUUGCUAACCGGAAAUGACUGGUCGAACGUGGCUGCAUGCUCACUACCAGUAAACCUCAGCUUGUCACCGACGCGUUGAACCGUGUGGAAUGCGAGAAAAUCCCACUCAAAUUGGAUCCUCACGCCACCCAGUUGAGUUAUGGAUCCGGGCCGGAUAACACCACUGACUAUGCUGUCAAACCGAAUCUUGUGUGAUCCACCGGCAACCGUAACAUUGAAGUCGCAGGAGGCGGGGAGUGUCACCUCAACGGCGCCCCCAUGGUUCACGUACGACUUCACACCCUGAGGCAGGAGAGCCCGCGGGAAGUUGUUUUUCUCCAAAAGGUCGUACGCUGUGUCGGAGGUGGCUGCUUGGAGGACAGAAGCCAGGAAGACGAUGAGGAGCAGAUGCUGGAUGGCCAUGGCUAGCUAACUGUUGUUGCUUACAAAUUGUAUCAAGGAAUAUGAGGAACUGGGAAGUAUGUGUAGACUGAGGCCCUGGCCACGUAUUAUAUAUGCUGCCCAACGAAAUCAAAGUCAAUCGUACUUUAAUUGCAUUUAUUUUGUUCCUGAUUAUCACUCCAUCAACCACCUCAUCAAAUAUGCUAAAAAUAUCAUCCCAUUAAAUCAUAUUUAUUUCUGGCCUAGAACAUUCUAUAGUUAAUGGUUAUGCCAAAACGUUCCUCAAAUAUUCAUAAUCAAUACGUACCAUAAAAUGAGACUGAAAUUUCAGAGCAACAUUCAUUUACGUACUUCACAGCCGACAUAUGAAACAUAUGCAAAAACCUAAAAAUGAAUCAAGGGGAAACAUCAACAUCCAAACAGUUUGAUCCUUGAUGUUGGCUUGGGUACCAAUGAGGCUUCUCUUCUCUUCAAAUAAUGUUGUGCAGUGCAACUAAAACAUAAAACACCCGCAAGAAAGAAAUAUUUCAUUUAGAUAUACUUGAGUUUUACAUGAGUAUGCGGUGCAAUAGAAUGAUUAUCUCCCAUUGUGCAGAUCAUCUCUUUCAGGAUGCCUACUCAGGCCAGCACAGACUCAUACAUGACAUCUCCGUGAAAGUUUCCACAAUGUUAUAGCAUGAACUCCCAGACCGUGAGAGAGGCUCAGUACCCAUAUCCAAAAUGAAGAGUGCGGAGGAGCAGGUGCCUACCCCUCCACCUUCCACUUCUCUUAAAAUUUUCCUGUGCAAUGCAACUAAACUAAAAAACAACUCCAAGCAAUAUAUUCAAUUUAUAUCUUGUUGGGUUAUGAUACGUCUCCAACGUAUUUAUAUAUUUUUUAUUGUUCCAUGCUAUUAUAAUUGUUGGGUCAUGAGCCGAAAGCAAGCCAUCGAACAUGCCAGUGUUGGAUUGGAUGAGAUUGUCGACCGCCUGAAGGAGGUUCUCAUCGUGAUCCUUGAAGAGCCGGUCCAGACCUACGGUGAAAUACGCUCGUUGAAGCGCGUACACGCCACACCUUUCCUCGGACGGCUUGUCCAUCGCCUCCGCUCACGGCCGAUCACGCCACCGCGUCCCGUGAUGGUGUCACGGCAACUCCAGGACCACUUAAUCUUAUACCAAUUGUGAGCAACUCACCUGAUCGAGAGGAAUUGCUAGGGAUUAGAAUUCGAAAUUGCGGAAAUUGGUUUGUUAGCUAGACGUCCGUCCACCCUCACAGCUACACUACACCGCAUGUUGCCAUCAUCCAAAUCCCAGCCAGGAGAUAGGAGAGAAGUAUAAUGCCUACUAGCUUAGCCCGCGCGGCAACACGCCGCGCCCAUCGAUCAGUCACGACUAUGUAGACUAUGGUCCAAGCAAUAGAGUAAUAAGUAGUUAUGAUGAAAUUUGUUGCAUAACUUGAGGCUUUUUAGCAAAUUCUUUUGUUCACAACAAUUUAUAGACACAAAUAUCUAUCUUUCAUGGAAACUUUUAGUUUAUUUUGUACAUAGCAAGGGUCUGUCCACCAAGUUGAAACAAAUACACAACAUGACCAAAAGUAAGGAACUUCGGAACAGUGCUUUCGUAGCUAAAAUUUAAUAAUUUUUCACAUUUCAUAACAUAAAUACUUAACUAAAACUUACAUCUGAUCUGAAGUACAACCAUUGAGACAGUAAAAAAACCACUAUUUUGAUCAUCACAAAAAAAUUAAUGUGCAUUUCAUGGAAAAAGUUUAGAGACAAAAUAAUUUAGCCAAGAGAAAAACUAUUUCAGAUCACAAAAGGCGCUCCAAAGAGUAAUUGUGUAUAUUAUUCAAAAGAACACUUUGUUACCUUCAGGCUUUAAUUAGCCCCAUUGUAUCUUGUGGAAUCAUGCAGUGAUACAAAUUCUUACCAUAAACAAAAAAAUUAAGCAGCUCUUAAUAUAGAAACAACCAUAUCACUCUGAAUCAAGGGAGCAUGAUGCGAUGAACUGAUGACGGGGAAUCUAUGGUAGCAUAUACCCAGGAAACAGUGUUCAUGGAAACUUUGUUAAACAACCCCUUGCUCAGCUUAAAAGUAUUCCUUCCUGGGUCUCCACUGAAACAAAACAAUAUUUAUACACCCACAGGUGAGAACAAUAUGAGAUUGUUUGAUAUAAAACCAACAAUGCUUGAACAUACUUGUUUCUCUACCUCACCAUGUGGCAACCAGAAAAAGCUUUAACAAAUUAAAAACCACUUGCAAAGUGAAGUUGAGAGCCUUCACUUAUUUCUCAAAAUGGAAGGAGGAAGGGGCCUUAAUUUGUCCCAGUAACCCCAUGAAUAUAAUUAGCCAAAUAUGUGGCAUUUCAUCUUAUUACAUGGUCAUGCUGAAGGAGGGAACAUCAAUAAAAUUAGGCAUAAGAAAUCCAUCAAAUGAAGAGAGAUGUACUUAGAAAUAAGAAUAACAAACAUUCUCAGAUACUGCUUUCUGCCACGGAUGGCUCUCCUUCUUCGGAUGCUGCUUUUUAUCGGUCUGUCGUUGGUGCUCUUCAGUACCUUACUCUGACUCGACCGGAGAUCCAGUAUGCCGUGCAACAUGUGUGUCUUCAUAUGCAUGCUCCUCGAGACAUUCACUGGGCUGCCGUCAAGCGGAUUCUCCGCUAUAUCUGUGGCACUAUGGAUCUUGGCGUCACGCUUCACGCCUCCGCCGACACCGCCCUGCGUACUCCGAUGCAGACUGGGCGGGCUGCCCUGACACUCGUCGUUCCACUUCGGGCUACUGUGUCUACCUUGGACCCUCACUUAUCUCGUGGUCGUCCAAGCGGCAGCCUACGGUCUCUCGUUCUAGUGCUGAGGCUGAGUAUCGUGCGGUGGCCAACGCCGUCGCCGAGUGUUCGUGGCUUCGCCAGCUGCUUCAGGAGCUCUCUUGUCCUGUUGACCGUGCCACGGUGGUCUACCGCGACAACGUCUCGGCGGUCUACCUCUCCGCUAACCCGGUGCAUCAUCGACGGACCAAACAUAUUGAGUUGGAUAUUCAUUUUGUUCGGGAACAGGUGGCCCUUGGCCAUAUUCGUGUUUUACACGUCCAUACUUCCCAACAAUUNNNNNNNNNNNNNNNNNNNNNNNNNNNNNNNNNNNNNNNNNNNNNNNNNNNNNNNNNNNNNNNNNNNNNNNNNNNNNNNNNNNNNNNNNNNNNNNNNNNNNNNNNNNNNNNNNNNNNNNNNNNNNNNNNNNNNNNNNNNNNNNNNNNNNNNNNNNNNNNNNNNNNNNNNNNNNNNNNNNNNNNNNNNNNNNNNNNNNNNNNNNNNNNNNNAGUAUAUGUGUUAUGUGCAUAUUGCGUAUUGGGCCCGCCUUCUAGUUCAUUGUAUAGUUGAGGUCCGUGGCCCAUCUUCGUACAUCAUAUAUACGUGCCUAUGCAUGAAGAGUAAUACAUCGUGCAAUUGCCACAACUCACAAUGUUGAACACGCCACUCCUCAAGAUCGUUGCAGCCUCGCUGCACCAGCGUCGUGAUUUUUCUGGCAAGCCGUUGGUCCCUGAUAUCAGCUGACGUUAGCUGACACAAGGGUCCCACUACGGCCGCCAUCGCUUGCCCCUUUGUUGUCGAUGCCAGGUGGGCCACUCACUUCAGCUCCUUCUCCAAGCCAGCCAGUUAAUCAGGUCACAAAACCAGCCAUGGAGCACCCCACCGAAUCCAGCCAAUCAGGUAUAGAACCUGUUGGCAUAAGCCAUGCCAUGUGCGGUGGCGACUGGCGUUGGGCGCGCCAGGUGUGUGUCCGUGUAUGCGUGGGAGAGGCCACCCGAGUCGUGUGUGCUGUGACAGUUCGUGCAUGCAUGUAGCUGGAUUAGUGGUCGCAGGUGGUGACCAAGCCACACGGGUCAUACGUGCAUCUAGUCUAGGUAGUUAGUAUAAGGAUGCAUGCAUUGGUUAGCGUGUUAGACGGCCAGUGGUGGUUGCCCUGUUUGGUUCAUAAGUCCUACGAUUUUUGUAGUCCCAACUUAUAAGUUUCAAGUCCCUAAAAAGUCCCUACCUGUUUGGUUCCUGCGACUUAUAAGUCCCUAUAAGACCAUAUUACAACUAUAAGACCCUAUAAGUUCCUCCUUAAAAGUCUUAUUUCAUAAGUCCCAAAUGCCCACUUUAAGUCCCUAUAAGUCCCUCCUGUUUGGUUUAGAUGGGACUUACAAGGACUUUUUUAAGUCUCUUGUAACGUCCCGGAUACAACUUUCCAUAUUCGUAACUCCAACUCUUGCCUUUUCCGGAGAUGCGAUAUGAUAUUUCCUUCGUGGUUGGGUUUUGUCUGUUGUUUUGCAUUUUGUUCUUGUUAUGCAUCUCAUCUCAUGUCAUCAUUCGCAUUGCAUCGGCAUUGUUUUUAUAAAACUUGCAUCCGUCCGAGUUCUCCCGGUUCUCUCCGUUGUCCGUUCUGAGCACAGACACACUCGCACGCGCCCGCGGCACCUCCGAAAUAUUAUUUUAUAAGUGGCAUAAAAAUGUUCUCGGAAUGGAUGCAACUUGGCGUGCGGUCUUAUUAUAGUGUAGACAGACCGCCUGUCAAGUUUCGUCGCAUUCGGAGUCCGUUUGACUGCCCAACCGUUAAACAUAUAGCGGCACCGUUGCCGGUGUUUUCGCCGGACGUUUCGGUCUCCGGAAUAGUUGCCGGGCCUCACUUCUCUUCUCUCCUCUCAGUCGAGGCCUCUCUUCACAGCCCACCUAGACCCCCUAUGUCCGGAGCUGCACGAUCGCGAUCGUACGGCUCGAAAACCCCUCCAAACCCUAAUCUUAACCUCCUGCCCUAUUUAAACCACCUUCCCCUUCCAAUUUUGGCAGCCUCCCCCCUCCUCCUCUUUUUCCGCACCACCCAACCCGCAGCCACCUCCUCCCACCUCGGGGGCCGCGCCGCCGCCUUCCCCCCUUCCAGAUCCGGCGCACCCCAGCGUCCCUCCGCCACUUGUCAAGCCCCUAGUGGCCAGCCACCGCCACAUCGUCGCCUCCAGCCACUCUGGGAGCGCCACAUGGCCUCGCCGCGUCCUCCUCGCCGCCGAGGCCCGCGGAAGCCCGCAACCGGACCACCCCGGGCCGCAUCUGGCCUCGGCGCGCCCACUCCCCCGCAACCGUGCCGUCUCCCCGCUCGCCCGAGCGAUCCAGAUCGGGAGAGGAGCUCCCGAUCCAGAUCGUGCCUCGCCGCCGCCUCUGGCCGAAGCCAUCUCGCGGCCGUCUCGCCGCCCCGGCGGACCCAGGUCACUGCCGCCCGGUCUCUCUCUCCCUUCCCUUUAUCCUUCCUCCCCUCACCAGCUCUCUCUCCCCCGCAGCUAGCCGCCGCCGCCAUGAACGCCUCCACCGAGCUCCGCCGUGGGCAUCACCACCUCACCGCCGGCCUCCUUCCGCCAGAUCCUGGCAGGGGAUGGUCGGAUCCAUCCAUCCCCAACCUCCCGCCGACCCCUACAUCGCCGGAGCGCUGCCCCGCCGCCGGUCUCCACCACGUCGACCUCCUUCCUCGUCCUCGUUCGAGCAGAGGACGAGGGCAUCCUCCUCGCGCACGUGGGCCAGCGCGUCGCCCUGCUGGUGGGUCACCCCACCUCCAAGGCCCACGUCGCCUCGGCUCAGCCCCGACCGGCCUCAAGGCCCGAUGUGAGCAGCUCCCCCACGCCUGGGCCAGAUCUCAGAUUCGGCCCAGGGUAGUUUUUUUUCCGUUCUGCGAUUUGCUAAUUAUCCAGAGUUUGCAUAUUUACAGAUUAACCCUCCAUGUUCAUGCAUAUAAUAACUCAUGAACCGUGCAUCGGAUUUAAAUAAUUUAUAUAUGUAAAAUGCUUAGAAUUUUGUGUAGAUUAAUAAUAUGCUGCUUGCAUCCAUGUUUAAAAUGUUGUUUGCAUUUAAUUUGCUCAAAUUCCAUGCUAAAAUGAUUUAUUUCAUAACUAAAUAACCGUAGCUCGGAAUUUAAUAAACUUUAUAUGUAAAUGGGGUUGAAAAAUGCCUAGAUUAACGUGGUGCACUUUAUUUUGCUGUUUAACAACAUUAAAAUUGUGUUUAGGGCAGAACAGUACCGAAUCUAAAAUAUGCAAAUGGGGAUUUUUCUGGAAUUGUUGUUUGUUGUUUCCGGCCUCAGUUAAACUUGCCUAGAUGGGUAGUUUAAUUAUGUUUCACCUCUUGCCAUGUUUAACAACAUUUAAUAUUGUUGUGUACCUAAACGAGAGCGAACUAAAUAACUCGGAUGUGGUGUUUCGUCAAUAUGCAACUCGUUGCAUAUUGAGCUCCACUCAACUUGUAUUAUUGUUUGUUGCACUUUGCCAUGCCAUGCCUCAUUAAACCGGACAUGCAUCAUACUUGUUUGUGCAUCAUGCCAUGAUUAUGCUUGUGUGUUUACCAUGUUGUUUGUUUCUUUCCGGUGUUACUUCUUAGUUCUGGUAAUGUUGUGAUUGUGAGGAUUUGUUCGACUACGCCCGUUCAUCUCCUUCAUGGACUCGUUCUUCUUCCUUGCGGGAUUUCAGGCAAGAUGACCGCUACCCUGGAUCUCACUACUAUCAUUGCUAUGCUAGUUGCUUCAUUCUAUCGCUAUGCUGCGUUACCUAUCCUUUGCUCUUCAAGCCUCCCAAAUUGCCAUGAACCUCUAACCUUUGACACUCUUCCUAGCAAACUGUUGCUUGGCUAUGUUACCGCUUUGCUCAGCCCCUCUUAUAGCGUUGUUAGUUGCAGGUGAAGUUGAAGAUUGCUCCAUGGUGGACAGGGUUUUGGUUGGGAUAUCACAAUAUCUCUUAUAUUAUUAAUGCAUCUAUAUAUUUGGUAAAGGGUGGAAGGCUCGGCCUUAUGCCUGGUGUUUUGUUCCACUCUUGCCGCCCUAGUUUCCGUCAUACCGGUGUUAUGUUCCCGGAUUUUGCGUUCCUUAUGCGGUCGGGUGAUUUAUGGGACCCCCUUGACAGUUCGCUUUGAAUAAAACUCCUCCAGCAAGGCCCAACAUUGGUUUUACCAUUUGCCUCACCNNNNNNNNNNNNNNNNNNNNNNNNNNNNNNNNNNNNNNNNNNNNNNNNNNNNNNNNNNNNNNNNNNNNNNNNNNNNNNNNNNNNNNNNNNNNNNNNNNNNNNNNNNNNNNNNNNNNNNNNNNNNNNNNNNNNNNNNNNNNNNNNNNNNNNNNNNNNNNNNNNNNNNNNNNNNNNNNNNNNNNNNNNNNNNNNNNNNNNNNNNNNNNNNNNNNNNNNNNNNNNNNNNNNNNNNNNNNNNNNNNNNNNNNNNNNNNNNNNNNNNNNNNNNNNNNNNNNNNNNNNNNNNNNNNNNNNNNNNNNNNNNNNNNNNNNNNNNNNNNNNNNNNNNNNNNNNNNNNNNNNNNNNNNNNNNNNNNNNNNNNNNNNNNNNNNNNNNNNNNNNNNNNNNNNNNNNNNNNNNNNNNNNNNNAAGUGUUGGUCCGAACCGGGCAGACUGCGGGGCCACCUCGGGGCAACUCGAGGGUUGGUUUUACUCGUAGGCUGGCCUAUCCAGUGUUGCCCUGAGAACGAGAUAUGUGCAGCUCCUAUCGGGAUUGUCGGCGCAUCGGGCGGCUUUGCUGGUCUUGUUUUACCAUUGUCGAAAUGUCUUGUAAACCGGGAUUCCGAGUCUGAUCGGGUCUUCCUGGGAGAAGGUAUAUCCUUCGUUGAUCGCGAGAGCUUAUCAUGGGCUAAGUUGGGACACCCCUACAGGGUAUAAUCUUUCGAAAGCCGUGCCUGCGGUUAUUGGCAGAUGAGAAUUUGUUAAUGUCCGGUUGUAGAUAACUUGACACCAGAUUCGAAUUAAAACGCAUCAACCGCGUGUGUAGCCGUGAUGGUCUCUUCUCGGCGGAGUCCGGGAAGUGAACACGGUUUAUGGGUUAUGUUUGACGUAAGUAGGAGUUCAGGAUCACUUCUUGAUCAUUGCUAGCUUCACGACCGUUCCUUUUGCUCUCUUCUCGCUCUUAUUUGCGUAUGUUAGCCACCAUAUAUGCUUAGUCGCUGCUGCAACCUCACCACUUUACCCCUUCCUUUCCUAUUAAGCUUUGCUAGUCUUGAUACCCAUGGUAAUGGGAUUGCUGAGUCCUCGUGGCUCACAGAUUACUACAACAACAGUUGCAGGUACAGGUUAUGCUAUGAUCAUGACGCGAGAGCGAUGCUUGCUUGUGUUGGAGUUCUUCUUCUGUUUCUUCUUCGAUCAGGGGAUAGGUUCCAGGUCGGCAGCCUGGGCUAGCAGGGUGCAUGUCGUUUGAGUUUUUGUUUAUGUUUCAUCCGUAGUCGGAUGGUGCUCUAUGUAUUGUGAUGUUGUAUUCGUGUGGCAUUGUAUGCCUCUUGUAGUAUCUCCAUCUAUUAUGUAAUGUUGAUGUAAUGAUAUCCACCUUGCAAAAGCGUUUCAAUAUGCGGGUCUAUCCUUGGUGGGACCUUCGAGUUCCUUUUGAAUAGGGUCGCAUAUUGGGCGUGACAAGUUGGUAUCAGAGCCUCGACCGACCAUAGGAGCCUCCUUGUUUGUUGGCCGUUGUUGAGUCUAGAAGAAAACUAUUUUGAGUCUUAGGAUUAUAUAUAUCGGAGAGUAGGAUUCUUUUUACUCCUCAGCCCCUUCGUCGCUCUUGUGAGGUCUCCUGACGUAGAUGUUUUGUCUUUCCUCUCCUCAAAUUUCACUAAAUUUUUUUAGGAUCACGCGGGUAUCUUGGAAUCGUUACGAUGGUUUUCUGACGAGAACAUUGUUCUUGGUGCCUCCUGUCUAUUAUGUGGCAUUGACCCGGGGAGUUGAGCUCCGAGGUGUUGUCGUCACAAUUUUAUCGUUGCAGUUCUGGAAUACCUGAGUUUUGCCGACAUCGAAAAUCUCUUUUAUGCAGUUGUUGGUGAGAUAACCUCGACGUCACCCAGUACUGGGGAGUUCGGGAGUAUUGCCAUAACUCGUAUAACGGAUGCUUUUAGAAGGUUCAGGUACACGAUUUCCGGAGUUUUCUUGGUUAUGUGUUAACGGAUGGAUACAGCUGGAUGUAGGGAUUGUUAGUGUGGGUGAGAUAUAUUGCUUCCCCUGUAUCCCCAACACCAGAUUGCAUAACCAGAAAGUUUCGGGAGUUUUAUAGGUGGGAAUUCUAGUAGCUCCUAGAAUAUCUUUCCGACAGAUGCAUGAUAUGGGAUUGGGUAAAUCUCUAUCAUAUGUAUUUGUUCCGGCUUAUUCUGCAAGCCAAACCCUUUGUUUUGUUUUAUUUGUGGUAUUUGAGUUGCUUCAAAGUCAAGUGUUGAUUCCAUACCUUUCAAGCGGUGUUCUCAUAUAUCUAUGGGAGUACUAAUCCUUUUGAUCAUUGAGAUUGUCAUGUCAAUUCUUUCCAUCCGGUGCGCUUCUCUUCAAGUGGAUCCGAUCAUUUUCAACAUCCGCAAGAUCAAUUCUAAGUUUUCUCAACGGUAUCCAUUCCAUCUGCCCCAAGUUGCCUUUGUUUUCCCGCCCUCCCACCCUUUUUCUUCAAGGGCCCAGAUUUCUUAAUCAAGUAUCCAUUUAUUCAUGUGAAGUCUCUUCACUCUUUUCAAUCAAUGUUUUGAUCCGGUGAUCCCUCGUGAAGAUGCUCACGAGCUUCAAGUUCAUCAAUCUUCAUUCUCGUAUUCUUUUCCGGUGGAUUUAAUUCAAGCUUUUGGUGUUCAUCAUAUUCCUUUCCUCGUUUCUAAUGCUUUCUCAUGCUGAUGCACCUCUUAAUUGUUCACCUCUCUCUAUUCUUAUCCAGAGUGCUCAAGAUAUCUCAAAAGACUUGUGUUUCCAUUCUCAAUCAGUUCAAGAUAUUUCGAGGUUGUUAUCUCAUUCAAGCCAUUUAAUUCAACCGGUGCAAUCUCUCUUCAAAAUCGUUCAACGGUGUUUUCUUUUGAGUGGGCCCUAACCCACAGGUCUUUUCCCAGGAUCUUACCUGACUCUUCUAAUUUUCCUAGAGCUUCUAAAAUUCAUUUCCAAGUUUGAUGUAAGAAUGAAUUUUCAUCAGUCACAUGCCUUCUCCAAGGUCGCUUUCAAAUUAUUUUCAUCUUUGGCUCAACCUUUCCUCUUUUAAUCCUUCCGGAGUUUCUCAACAAUUUGGUGGUGGUUCUCGUCAUCAUUCUCAACAUGUGAAGACCGAAGAAGUGUUUCCUCUAAAUCUUGGUCCAUUCUCUUAAAGAUUCAUGGUUCUAGCUUCAUGCUAUCCUCAUAAUUGUUUUGAUUGUGAGAUUUCUAUUCUUACCAUCCGGAGCAUUUCAUGAGUUGUUUCCAGUUCUUUCCUCCGAAGGUCAUCAUGUCUUAAUUCUUCAUUCGCAACGUGUAGCUAUCAUUCUCCAAAUCUUACCGGUGCAUCGCUCAAAUAUCCUCUAAUUAGUUCAUGAUUCCUUUGUUCUCAUGUAUCUAAAUCCCCUCAAGUAUCUUCAUUCGUUUUCAAAUUCUUCCCGGUGAAUUGUGCCUUUGCUACUUUCAUUUUCUAUUCUUACGGUGGUUCGUUCAAGAUUUCUCUUCCUUCGUCAUCGUAUCAAUUCAUUCAUUCAUUCGUUGUUUCCAAAUCCCACCGGUGGUUCCAUCAAUACCUUCUCAAGUUUGCGCUAUAUCUCUCUUAAUCCUUUCUACGAGAAUAAGUAGUAUGCCAAAUCCGUUGCUUGUCAUCAAUUAAAUUUGAUGAAGGAUAAGCAUACAAUAAAUCUUAUUCUUAUUUCCUCGAGGUGGCUCAAUUCUUUUUACGGAGAUUAUUCAUGAUGAAUAAAUUCUUGAUUACAAGUGAUUCAUCUUUCUUUCCGGAGUUGGUCAUCAUAUCACAUUCUCGGUUUGAGAGGCUUCAUCUUUCUUUUUGGAGUUCCAAGCUCUCUCAAUUAUCUCGUCGCGAAGCUCCAUCUAAAUCAUUGCAAGGGUUCACCUUGUGUUUUCAACCUCUCUUUCUUCCUAUCAUCCUUUUAUUACUGGAGUUCUUCAUGGAGGCUCUACAUGGUGGUUCACAAGGAUUCUUUUCAUUCUUCAAGUGUUCUUCAAGAUUUCUCUCGAAUCUAUGACCCGCCAAGUUAUACUCAAAAAUAAACAUGGUGCCCAACACAUGUUUUAUUUUGAGGAGUUCAAGUAUUCUUCAUCUUGCAUUUUGAGGUGCAAUUCUCCUACCUUAUCUUUUGAGAUGGUGUUAUAUCAUUCUUGACAGUUUCCCUUCAAGUUUUUUGAUUCACAAGUUGUCAAGAAUGAGAUAUUGUGAAACCAUCAUUUUCUCUUUGAUCAUGAAUUGUUUCAACCCAUAUUAAUCUCUUCGUUGGAGUUAUAUUGUGUCAUAUUUCACCUAAAGCCUUCCCUAAGAAAUGUUGCUAUUGUGGUGCUUAUCAAUGAUCCAAGUUUUCUCCUAUCCUCUCGGCGAAAGCAGUUUUCAUCUCUUCGUUGAUCUCAAGCAAGCAAUUGUUUCAGUUAGUGGCCGGUUGUCACCUCAUCAUUUUGAGAUGUUUGCCAUAAGCCCACAACAAGCUUGUGCUUUUCGUUGUUGAUUUUGCAACAACUUCGUUCAAUUCUUCUUUGCAAGGAUGCUUUCCAAGUUCAUUUGUGGCAUAAGUUGGCAUUUUCUUCUCCGUUCUGUUAUUCCAAUGAUCUAUCUUCUAUUCUUUCUUCUGGAGGCAUUGUGAUGUUGCUCUCUUCACCCAUCACCUCGUUUUUUCAAGAUCAUGUUAUUCUCUUGCUUAUCCAUUUAAUCGGAGUGUUGUGUCAUCUCUUCAAGUUCUUUCAUGUUAUCAAGUUUUGCAUCUCUUUUCAACCGGAGUGUUGUCCGAACUUGAUCUUCCUUAUUCCUUGUUUAUCUUGUUUCAACCAGAGUGGUUCCAAUUCCUUCUUGUCCAUUGUACUCGUCAUUCAUAGCUUUGCAACCUCCAAGGUUCACAUGGUGUUCCUUGUUUCUAUUUUUCUACCGCAGUGCUCUCAAUUGUGUUCAACUCUGUUGUGUUCUUUCUUUCAACUUUUCAACCUCUCAAGGUUCGUGGUUUUACUCAUUGGUCGAAGAAGCAACUUAGUUUACCUCUUCUCUUCCUCUUCCGUUUCUCUCCGGUGCCAUCCUAGAUCUCGGGACGAGAUCCUGUCGUAGUGGUGGAGUGUUGUAACGCCCCGGAUACAACUUUCCAUAUUCGUAACUCCAACUCUUGCCUUUUCCGGAGAUGCGAUAUGAUAUUUCCUUCGUGGUUGGGUUUUGUCUGUUGUUUUGCAUUUUGUUCUUGUUCUGCAUCUCGUCUCAUGUCAUCAUUCGCAUUGCAUCGGCAUCGUUUUCAUACAACUUGCAUCCGUUCGGGUUCUCCCGGUUCUCUCCGUUGUCCGUUCUGAGCACAGACACACUCGCACGCGCCCGCGGCACCUCUGAAAUAUUAUUUUAUAAGUGGCAUAAAAAUGUUCUCGGAAUGGGAUGCAACUUGGCGUGCGGUCUUAUUAUAGUGUAGAGAGACCACCUGUCAAGUUUCGUUGCAUUCGGAGUCCGUUUGACUGCCCAACCGUUAAACAUAUAGCGGCACCGUUGCCGGUGUUUUCGCCGGACGUUUUGGUCUCCGGAACAGUUGCCGGGCCUCACUUCUCUUCUCUCCUCUCAGCCGAGGCCUCUCUUCACAGCCCACCUAGACCCCCUAUGUCCGGAGUUGCACGAUCGCGAUCGUAUGGCUCGAAAACCCCUCCAAACCCUAAUCUUAACCUCCUGCCCUAUUUAAACCACCUUCCCCUUCCAAUUUUGGCAGCCUUCCCCCCUCCUCCACUUUUUCCGCACCACCCAACCCGCAGCCACCUCCUCCCACCUCGGGGGCCGUGCCGCCGCCUUCCCCCCUUCCAGAUCCGGCGCGCCCCAGCCUCCCUCCACCACUUGUCAAGCCCCUAGUGGCCAGCCACCACCACAUCGUCGCCUCCAACCACUCUGGGAGCGCCACAUGGCCUCGCCGCGUCCUCCCCGCCGCCGAGGCCCACGGAAGGCCGCAACUGGCCCGCCCCGGGCCGCAUCUGGGCUCGACGCGCCCACUCCCCCGCAACCGUGCCGUCUCCCUGCUCGCUCGAGCGAUCCAGAUCGGGAGAGGAGCUCCCGAUCCAGAUCGUGCCUCGCCGCCGCCUCUGGCCGAAGCCAUCUCGCCGCCGUCUCGCCGCCCCGGCGGACCCAGGUCGCUGCCGCCCGGUCUCUCUCUCCCUUCCCUUUCUCCUUCCUCCCCUCACCAGCUCUCUCUCCCCCGCAGCUAGCCGCCGCCAUGAACGCCUCCACCGAGCUCCGCCAUGGGCAUCACCACCUCACCGCCGGCCUCCUUCCGCUAGAUCCGGGUAGGGGAUGGUCGGAUCCAUCCAUCCCUAACCUCCCGCCGACCCCUACAACACCGGAGCGUUGCCCCGCCGCCGGUCUCCACCACGUCGACCUCCUACCUCGUCCUCGUUCGGGCAGAGGACGAGGGCAUCCUCCUUGCGCACGUGGGCCAGCGCGUCGCCCUGCUGGUGGGUCACCCCACCUCCAAGGCCCACGUCGCCUCGGCUCAGCCCCGACCGGCCUCAAGGCCCGAUGUGAGCAGCUCCCCGACGCCUGGGCCAGAUCUCAGAUUCGGCCCAGCGUAGUUUUUUUUUCGUUCUGCGAUUUGCUAAUUAUCCAGAUUUUGCAUAUUUACAGAUUAACCCUCCAUGUUCAUGCAUAUAAUAACUCAUGAACCGUGCAUCGGAUUUAAAUAAUUUAUAUAUGUAAAAUGCUUAGAAUUUUGUGUAGAUUAAUAAUAUGCUGCUUGCAUCCAUGUUUAAAAUGUUGUUUGCAUUUAAUUUGCUCAAAUGCCAUGCUAAAAUGAUUUAUUUCAUAACUAAAUAACCGUAGCUCGGAAUUUAAUAAACUUUAUAUGUAAAUGGGGUGGAAAAAUGCCUAGAUUAACAUGGUGCACUUUAUUUUGCUGUUUAACAACAUUAAAAUUGUGUUUAGGGCAAAACAGUACCGAAUCUAAAAUAUGCACAUGGGGAUUUUUCCGGAAUUGUUGUUUGUUGUUUCCGGCCUCACUUAAACUUGCCUAGAUAGGUAGUUUAAUUAUGUUUCACCUCUUGCCAUGUUUAACAACAUUUAAUAUUGUUGUGUACCUAAACGAGAGCGAACUAAAUAACUCGGAUGUGGUGUUUCGUCAAUAUGCAACUCGUUGCAUAUUGAGCUCCACUUAACUUGUAUUAUUGUUUGUUGCACUUUGCCAUGCCAUGCCUCAUUAAACCGGACAUGCAUCAUACUUGUUUGUGCAUCAUGCCAUGAUUAUGCUUGUGUGUUUACCAUGUUGUUUGUUUCUUUCCGGUGUUUCUUCUUAGUUCCGGUAAUGUUGCGAUUGUGAGGAUUUGUUCGACUACGCCCGUUCAUCUCCUUCAUGGACUCGUUCUUCUUCCUUGCGCGAUUUCAGGCAAGAUGACCGCUACCCUGGAUCUCACUACUAUCAUUGCUAUGCUAGUUGCUUCGUUCUAUCGCUAUGCUGCAUUACCUAUCUUUUGCUCUUCAAGCCUCCCAAAUUGCCAUGAACCUCUAACCUUUGACACUCUUCCUAGCAAACUGUUGCUUGGCUAUGUUACCGCUUUGCUCAGCCCCUCUUAUAGCAUUGUUAGUUACAGGUGAAGUUGAAGAUUGCUCCAUGGUGGAUAGGGUUUUGGUUGGGAUAUCACAAUAUCUCUUAUAUUAUUAAUGCAUCUAUAUAUUUGGUAAAGGGUGGAAGGCUCGGCCUUAUGCCUGGUGUUUUGUUCCACUCUUGCCGCCCUAGUUUCCGUCAUACCGGUGUUAUGUUCCCGGAUUUUGCAUUCCUUACGCGGUCGGGUGAUUUAUGGGACCCCCUUGACAGUUCGCUUUGAAUAAAACUCCUCCAGCAAGGCCCAACAUUGACUUUUACCAUUUGCCUCACCACCACCUAUAUUUCCCUUGGGAGUAAUUAACCCAAGGGUCAUCUUUUUUUAGCCCCCCCCGGGCCAGUGCUUGUCUAAGUGUUGGUCCGAAUUGGGCAGACUGCGGGGCCACCUCGGGGCAACUCGAGGGUUGGUUUUACUCGUAGGCUGACCUAUCCGGUGUUGCCCUGAGAACGAGAUAUGUGCAGCUCCUAUCGGGAUUGUCGGCGCAUCGGGCGGCUUUGCUAGUCUUGUUUUACCAUUGUCGAAAUGUCUUGUAAACCGGGAUUCCGAGUCUGAUCGGGUCUUCCUGGGAGAAGAUAUAUCCUUCAUUGAUCACGAGAGCUUAUCAUGGGCUAAGUUGGGACACCCCUGCAGGGUAUAAUCUUUCGAAAGCCGUGCCUGCGGUUAUUGGCAGAUGAGAAUUUGUUAAUGUCCGGUUGUAGAUAACUUGACACCAGAUUCGAAUUAAAACGCAUCAACCGCGUGUGUAGCCGUGAUGGUCUCUUCUCGGCGGAGUCCGGGAAGUGAACACGGUUUAUGGGUUAUGUGUGACGUAAAUAGGAGUUCGGGAUCACUUCUUGAUCAUUGCUAGCUUCACGACCGUUCCUUUUGCUCUCUUCUCGCUCUUAUUUGUGUAUGUUAGCCACCAUAUAUGCUUAGUCGCUGCUGCAACCUCACCACUUUACCCCUUCCUUUCCUAUUAAGCUUUGCUAGUCUUGAUACCCAUGGUAAUGGGAUUGCUGAGUCCUCGUGGCUCACAGAUUACUACAACAACAGUUGCAGGUACAUGUUAUGCGAUGAUCAUGACGCGAGAGCGAUGCUUGCUUGCGUUGGAGUUCUUCUUCUGUUUCUUCUUCGAUCAGGGGAUAGGUUCCAAGUCGGCAGCCUGGGCUAGCAGGGUGGAUGUCGUUUGAGUUUCUGUUUGUGUUUCAUCCGUAGUCGGUUGGUGCUCUAUGUAUUGUGAUGUUGUAUUCGUGUGGCAUUGUAUGCCUCUUGUAUGUAUCCCCAUCUAUUAUGUAAUGUUGAUGUAAUGAUAUCCACCUUGCAAAAGCGUUUCAAUAUGCGGGUCUAUCCUUGGUGGGACCUUCGAGUUCCUUUUGGAUAGGGUCGCAUAUUGGGCGUGACAUCUCUAGACCAAUAAGUCCCUGGAAACAAACACCGUCUACGUGUGUGUCGUGGGGUUAGUGGCUGGUGUGAUGGCCGGGUCGUGUGUGUGUGUCUGGGUAUAAAAAGCCCUCCCAUGUAUUGAUUGAGGUGCGCCCGUUUGUUGCCGCGCCACGGUGACGGUAUGUGCCGAACCGAGGGGAAGGGGCCUAAGGAAGAUGUAGUCUUCAUCGGGACCGUGGUAUGCGCCUGGUUGAUGUGAGAGUUCUUCCGGGGUUGUGCUGCGUGUGUGUACCUCCAUGUAUGUGUGUUUGAGUAGUUGAGUUGAAUAGAAGCCAACAUACAGGCCGUUCGGCGGCCGGGGCGUUCGUCGCCGGAAAAUUCCGUUCAUCUUCUUCUACCUUCGUCCGGCGGUCGUCGUCGGAGGGCGGUUCGGCGUAUGUCCCCGGUGGGUUUGUCCCAACAUUUGGUAUCAUGAGCUUCGUUGUCUUGGGCGUCGUUCUCCUUGCCGGAGGAGUGCCGGCAGUGGCGGAGUUCGCCGGCGGCUGCGCGGUGCUCCGGGCCGUGUGUCGGCCUAUGGAGGUGCGCGGCGCUGCGACAGCGCGGCGAGGAGGCCGCGGAGGUCCUGCUUGGUGGCGCAGAGGCCGCGAAGGCGCGGCGGCUUUGUGUAGCACGGCGUCGGCCGCCCGAGCGCGUCGGCGUCGACGACGUGUGUUGCAGGCAGUGAAGGGAAUUGGCGUGCAUCGCCGGACACGAAGAAGAAGAAGAUGCAGCAGGGUUCACGUCUGAGAGGCUGUAGCGGCUGCCAUGGUGGCAACGACGACGGGAGCUGCAGCGAGGACAACAACGACGAUGUCAUGGCUUAGGAGGUGAGUGUUGGCAUAAGCCAUGCCAUGUGCGGUGGUGACUGGCGUUGGGCGCGCCAAGUGUGUGUCCGUGUAUGCGUGGGAGAGGCCGCCCGAGUCGUGUGUGCUGUGACAGUUCGUGCAUGCAUGUAGCUGGAUUAGUGGUCGCAGGUGGUGACCGAGCCACACGGGUCAUACGUGCAUCUAGUCUAGGUAGUUAGUAUAUGGAUGCAUGCAUGGGUGGUUAGCGUGUUAGCCGGCCAGUGGUGGUUGGAUUACUACAUGUGUGUCGUGGGGUUAGUGGCCGGUGCGAUGGCCGGGUCGUGUGUGCGCGUCCGGGUAUAAAAAGGCCUCCCAUGUAUUGAUGGAGGUGCGCCGGUUUGUUGCCGCGCCACGGUGACGGUAUGUGCCGAGCCGAGGGGGAGGGGCCUAAGAAAAAUGUAGUCUCCAUCGGGACCAUGGUAUGCGCCUGGUCGAUGUGAGAGUUCUUUCGGGGUUGUGCUGCGUGUGUGCGUGUGUACCUCCAUGUAUGUGUGUUUGAGUAGUUGAGUUGAAUAGAAGCCAACAUACAUGCCGUUCGGUGGCCGGGGCGUUCGUCGUUGGAAAAUUUUGUUCAUCUUCUUCUACCUUCGUCCGGCGGUUGUCGCCGGAGGGCGGUUCGACGUAUGUCGCCGGUGGGUUUGUCCCAACAGAACCAACCUCUCGUGGAUCAGCCAUGCGUAACCCUAGCGUCUGAUCCAAACUGUCCACACAUAGCGAUCUAAUGACAUGAAAGGGUGCGGGGUUUCAGGGGGGGUGGGGUUGAGGGGUUUUGAGAGGGUUUCAAGGGUUAAGGUUGAGCAUAAGUAAUUAAAAAAUACAAAAAUAUGAAACAUGUGCAUCAUCGUUUUUAUGUGACUAAGUUGCUAGGAAAAAUAAGGAACUUGGUAUACGGAUAUUUUCAUGAAAAUCCCUUUACAGAACUUGGCUAUCAUGAAUGAGGUUGCAGUGUUUUCAAGGGAUAUGAGCUAGGGUUUAGGGUUAAGCAUGACAUAGUUUGUCCAAAUGAUCCCAAAUUGGGCAUGAACCCUAUAUUUGCACACUUUAUGCCAAGAUUUUUUUUCGCUCAUUUAGAGAAGGUCGAAAAAAAACUUGCAUAUAAUUGAUGUUGUUUACCCUAGCUUUGGAGCUCAUUUUUCAUGACUAUGAGUUUUACUUUCACAAAAGUGCUCGGAUUGAUCACCUCAAGUGCAUGAUAUUUGAAAAAGCAUCGGAACAUCAAUACACAUCAAAGUACAAAUUUGAAUUUUGGCUCAAAUUUGAAUAGUGUGUACCAAUAUACAUCAGAGUACAAAUAGCAUUACAUCACACAAGUUUCAAUACCACAAACCAAGAACAAGUUUGGACAAAAAGACGGGAAUACAUAGUGUGUACCAAUACACAUCAAAGUACAAAUAACAUUACAUCACACAAGUUGAUCCCCAUGUUUGUGCCAAAUAUGGUCACCUUAUUAUGAAAUAUUUUGAAAACUCCCUUGUUCGUAGGAAAAAUUAUAAACUUGAAAUACCAUAAAAUAAAAUAAAUUCUUCACAAAAUUGCCAAAUUUGAACUUGUGCACUAUUUAUAGAGAUUGUGCCAAAUCCUUCACUAUUUCUAGGGAUUUCUAUGAAGCAAGUAGCAGAAAUAUGAUAAAAUUGGCAAAAGUACAUUUUUGCGUCUUAUUUGUGAUAUUUGCUUCACCAAAAAAAACUUUAUUGGAAGUUGAAAAAUGAUUUUUAUUGUAACAAAUUUGGAAACUCCCUCUUUUGAAAGCUAUCUUUUUAGUGUUCAUUCUUAAAUACAAUUCUCUGAAAAUUGUGAGCAAUUUUUAUUAAAUUAGUAAGGUAAAUAGGGAUUUAUAGACAUUUUUUGCUAGAGUUGGACCAAGAGGGAAUUUGAUUAGGAAUUUCUAAAGAAGUCCUGUAUAUAUCAAAUAUAGAUUUAAAUCAAAGAUACAUAGAAAAACUUCAUGUAUAAUUAUGAAAAUUGGAUAUUAAAUAGGUCUGGAGAUCUGAUGAAUUUAUGAACUUGAAUCAACUCAACUAGAUUUAAAAUGAAUGUUCUAUGAAUUUAUAAAAUUGACUAGAAUUGCAAAAAGGUAUUCGAUACUGUUCAGGCGGGCUAAACAGAUCGACCGAAUUACUUAAAAUACCAAUCUGGCGCGCUUAAGGAGAUACGCACACAUGUCACACUGGCUCGACCCAGCUUUGUCUCUACGGGCUGGGAUGCGACGUCAAUGGCACACUUUUGAGGUGGUCCCACUCGUUAGGAUGUCAUCCAAGUAACAGUAAAUGGGCUUUUAUCCAACGGAAUGCAUCGUUUGGGCAUUUGCGAGGCCGGGGCCUAGUAAAGAGGGGAAAAGUGAGGAACGUGAAGGUGGCAGAGCAAAACUAAGUAGAACUAAAGAAUCAGGGGCACCAAAAUAGAAAGCCCUAAAUCCUAUGAACGUGCUCCUCGAUGAUCACGUAGACACUUCUCAAAUUGCUCAUGGUCGUAUGUUAAUACUAUUUGAGUCUAUUUUAGUUACGAUUUAUCUUAAAUUUAUAAUAGUGAGACUCAGCUGCCUCCUACUCCUCCAAAACAAAACCUAGGGUUCCUGCCUCUCGCCGGCACCACCGCAGGUCCGCCUCGCCUCCGCUGGUCCUAGGCAGGGCCGGCCCUGAGGGGGGGCAGGGGGGUGGCCGCCCCGGGCCCCCAACAUCGAGGGGCCCCCUCUCAAGUAAAGUAGCCCAGGGAUUCUCCCCAAAAAAAGAAGCGACUAGGACUGGGUCGUAGCAUGGCUUCAGGCCUUUUGCAUGUUCAGCUUCAUAUGGCCCAAGUGGAUUGCUGGGCUAGGUAGUCAUGCAUGUACGCAUUAUUUCUCGGAAACAAAAACGCACACACUAUGGCUGAUCGAUUAAAUCAGAUCAGAUCAGAUCAGCUCGAAGAGGGGCAAUGUAUCACGCACGGCGUUGGCGAUCGAGGGAACGAAUUCCGCUUCAGGCCGAACGCCCUUGCCAUCACCUGAUCGCCGUCUAGUCUCGCCUCUCGCGACCUUCAUGCGCAGCAGUAGCCAAGAGACGAGAGGGGACAAGGCCUGCUUAGACUGGAUCAGAAUCUAUCAGUUGAUUUUUAAAUCCGUGUUCAACAGCUCUAAGGUAGCCUCUCUGGUAGUCCCUAGUUCCUAAAUUUGUUGUUUGUUAAUUGAAGUCGAUGCCCAGAAUUGUUUUUCACAAUCCAAUCAUUGGAUAGGAUUAGUGUGUUGAAAACUGCACUAUCUGUGCUUCAUUUAAAGAUGACACAAAAAUUAAUUUUGUAAUUGUUGUGGAUUGCAUUCCAAUUGAACCCAAUUUGCUCAGUUUGGAUUAAUGGUUGCUGAGGUAUCACCAGAAUGGUGCUGCUGUACAAGUAUUUUCAAAGUUGAGCAGAUAUUGUUUUUGCGACUUUUAACAAAUUUCUAUUCGCAAGAACUAGUCUAUAUUCAGAUAUGACCAGUUUCUUAUUACAACAUGCAUGAAAGACGUAGAUAACUUCAUGUUGAAUAUCCUGAUUUGCUUAUUUUCUUCAUUUUGUAAAAUGGAUCAUGAUUUGUAGCCUAGAAAUUCAUAUAUGACGUGCUUUGGAGUUCAAAUUAAAUGGAGAAUCCAAGCUAUGCUUGUAUAUUUACCUAAUAAUAAUCAAUGGGCUAGCUCUAGGAGAUAUUUAUACAUAUACUAUUAGGUAUUAGGAUGUUCAAGAGCCAAGAACAAUACAUAAAAAUUUUAUGUUUAUAUUAAAGGGGCCUCGGGUUUUACUUUCGCCCCGGGCCCCCGAAUUGUCAGGACCGGCCCUGGUCCUAGGGCCAUGGGGGACGCGGUGGAUCCUGACAAGGGCCGGCGGAAGGGCUCCGUUUUUAGUCGCUUCUUUCAGUUGGAUUUGUGUCCUGUUCAGGAAGACAAAAUAGUGGCGGCUCCCUAAAGAUGAAAUAAAGGUCUCCCCGCCUAGUCCCUGUUCCGACGGUGCGUCUAGCAUCGUUGGUGGGCGUGUGAAGGCGUGUUUUCGGCGAAUCUACCUUUGGUGGAUUUGCUUGGAUCUCAUCGUUGUUUGUCCACGUUUGUGUGUCUCCGGUUUGGAUCCUUCUGAUCUACAUUAUUUUUCAUCGGCGGCGGUUGCUGUUCUGGUGUGUUGGUCCUAUGCGGCCUUAGCACGACGACUUACCGACUAUCUACUACAAUAAGUUGUGCCCAACUCCGGCAAUGGAGUGGUGAUGACGGCAGCGUGCCUUCGGCUCGCUUCAAUACUUAUAGUCGUCGCUAGGUGGUCUAGGAUCUGGUUGUAAUUUUUAUUAUUUUCGGUGUUCGUCGUACUGCCAUGAUUGAUGAUGAAUAGAUCAGAAGUUUUCUUGCAAAAUAGAUAAAUAAUACUCCCUCCGUAAAUUAAUAUAAGAGCGUUUAGAUCACUGCUCACUUAGGUCGGCUAACGAGGAGUAAUAGUGAGACUCAAGCUUCCAUAGCGAUUCGGUACCCUUAGCCAUCCUAUUGGAUCUUCAAUGCUCCAGAUUUAGGUUUGUGAACCACCAUCGCCCCAACGCUUAUUUGGCCCUCGUUCACCUCGUUAGCCGACCUAAGCAGGUCGGAUGAACGUCAAAAGGCGAAAUCACGGAGAGCACUCCAACUCUCCCAGGUUGCGACAAGUGGCACGAGAUCACUCCAACUUCCCCAGCUUGCGUCAAGUGAGGUGCUGUAUGAGUGCCACUUGUCGCAACCUAGGAGUUUUUCCUUUUUUCGUAGAUCAGAUUAUUUAAAAUGUUUUAUCUUUUAAACCAUGCGUCCAAAUCUCCAACCGCUUUCGCCGUUGGAUUUCUCGCGUCGAGAUCUUCAAAACUAGAUCCCAUGUUGAUAGGUCUUGACGAACUUUUUUUUCAUGAAAAAACCGGACGAAAAAACCCGAUGAAAAAACCGAACCGGGAACACGGUUUUUUUUCCUUUUCGAAAGAGGCACACCCAUGCCUCUGACGAAAUCACAACCUUGCCUCUCGCGGAAAAAAAACCGUGCCUCUCGCGAAAUAAAAAAAAAACAGAAAUCGUGUUUUCCCUUUCCGAAAGAGGCACGCCCGUGCCUCUCGCGAAGCACAACCGUGCCUCUCGCGGAAGCAAAACUGUGCCUCUCGCGAAAGGAAAAAACCCAGAAAACACGUUUUUUUCCCUUUCCAAGAGAGGCAGGCCCGUGCCUCUCGCGAAAGCACAACCGUGCCUCUCGCGGAAGCAAAACCGUGCCUCUCGCGAAAGGAAAAAAAACAGAAAACAUGUUUUUUUUGUUUCCAAGAGGCACGGCCGUGCCUCUCGCGAAAACAGAACCGUGCCUCUCGCGAAAACAGAACCGUGCCUCUCGCGAAAACAAAACCGUGCCUCUCACGAAAAAAAUACGUUUUUUUGCGCAAAAAUAUUAUUUUUUUCCAAAAUUAUUUUUUGUCGAAAAGCUAGGGAAGACCGGUGGAAAACCAAAACAUAAAAAACCCGGAGAAAAACCGUUUAAAAAGCCGAAAACGCGUGCGGAAAAAUAAAAAAACAAAAGCCGAAGGGAGCGCCCAGAGCGCGACACGUGGUGAAUGGCUGAGAGCGCGCCAAAUAACGCUGAUCGUUACGAGGCUCCCGAAGAAGCGCUCGUUAAUUAGUUGCUCCCGUCAAAGGUACGCUGCUCCGAACACUUACGUCAAUGUCAAUGGUUUUUGCUCGUCAACGCCCAUGUGAACGCUCGGUUUGGCCGGCCCAUUAAGCAUCCUUCGACCGCUCACUCGCUUGAUCACUAACCAGCUCGCUCGCUCGUUUGAUCGCUGGACCGGCUCGCUCGCUCGCUUGAUCUGUAGACAAAUUUGCUUGCUCACUUUCUAUUGGUUCGGAGAAACCAGUGAUAUUCUUUGGGGGGAAAACCAAGUCCCGGUUUUUAUGGGCUAAAAAACAUAAAUUAAAAAAAUGUUUGUUGAUUUGAAAAAAGUUCAUCAUGGUGAAAGAGUUCACAAAUUUGAAAAAUAAUUUCGUGGAUAUGAAAAUAGUUUGUGAAUUUCGACAAAAGUUCAUGAAUUUUGGAAAUGUCCAUGAGUUUUUAAGAAUUAUUUGUUUUUUUUCAAGAAUUUAGAAAAAUCUUUCCGAAUUCAAAGAAGUUCAUGAAUUUGAAAAUACUUCUGAAUUUGAAAAAGGUCCAGGAAUUAAAAUAAAAAUGAAAAUGAUAAUAAAAACAAUCUGAAAUAAAAAAAGGAAAAUAGGAAAAAAAACAGGGAAAAAUACUAAAAGAGACUAAAUAGAAAAAAGAAGAAAACCAAAAAAGCACACGCACAAUCUUCUAGAAUGUUCACAAAACCUUUUUUUCAGAAACACCGGUAAUUUUAUGCAUACUCAUAACAAUUAAAGGUACACUGAUUUGGAUCUAAGAUCCAAGAAAAUACAAAGUAACUCCGAUGACUAAGUGUUACAAUGACACCUCUUGAAAACACCUUCUUCAAGGUAACAAUCUUUGCUCGAAGAAAUACUUCAAAGACUUCGAUAAAGAUACUGCAAUUGAACUGAAGCAACAAUUUUGUCACUCUUUUACCUACACGAACAUUACCAAUAAUGAUUUUUAAAGGUGCCAUUGUUUCGGGCGUUUUCUCAUGAACCGGGCUGCUGUGGGCCGAGUGGCUGCCGAAGAGCUAUGAUCGGGCUGCUGAUCGUUGAUCUUUUUUUUUAGCCACCGAUGUAGAAGAACACAAAUGUUGCAUGUGACCAACGUGCCUAAAAGAACGUCUUUCAAAAAUAUGUCGUUCAAGGACCUGUAAUAAUAGGCUGUUCAAAAAAGGACAUGAAAUAGUGUUGUGGAGGGAGAGACCCGUGUGUUGUAGCAGAGUGAAACUCGGGCCUGUGUGCUGGACCUUGUAGCAAUGAUGAGGCUUUGGAUAUCAUUUAGCUCUGUUUCCAAGUUACAAAUAAAACAUCCCAAAAAAACUUGUGGCUAACAAGAACUUGUUUAAACUCGUAAAUGUGUGCAUACUACAAUGCAAGUUGAUAUUAGACAUUGAUUGCAUGUACUCCUCCGUCCCAAAAUAAGCGUCUUAAUUUUUACUAGUUCUAAUAUAAAUUUAUACUAAACUCAAGACUAGUGCUGGAAAAAAAGCUCGAAGCUCGCGAGCUAAAUGAGUAGCUCGUGGCUCGGCUCGAAUCGACUCGAACUCGAAGAAUAACGAGUCGAGUCGAGCUUUAGUUUAAGAUCGUUUAUAGACCAAGUUGAACGAGCCAAUCUCACGAGUACUCGUGUAACUCGUUAGGCUCGAUACAAAAGAUCAGCCACUCCCAAAACAAAAAAAAAUCAGCCACUCAGCACUCUAUGUCUCAGGCGCACAACACAAGGCCUAGCCGUUGAAGGCCCAAUCGCCUAGGAGACUCAUGCGUUAUAAGGAAACUAUUAUUGUUUAGUGAUAUAUAUGUUUAAUAUAUACAUAAUCAUUUUUAUAAUAUAUGAGGGUUUUAUGAUCAUAUCUUUAACGAGCUUAACAAGCUAAACGAGCCAGCUCGUGAGUUAUACGAGUCGAGCCAAUCUUGAAUUUGAGCUCGUUAUAAUAACGAGUCGAGUCGAGCUAACUCGUUAACGAAACGAGCUCUAGCGAGUCGAGCCGAGCUGGCUCGACUCGGCUCGAAUUCCAGCCCUACUCAAGACACUUAUUUUGGGACGGACGGAGUAUAUUUUAGCUAGUAGUAGAUAUUAUUUGCGUGUUAAUUAUGUAAUUACCUAACAAAGAUAUUUGGUAUGGUGCAAAUUGCAUGCAUUAGGGCGGAUAUUAUUUCGUAUGGUGCUAAUUGCAUGCAUUACUAUUAUUUACGCAUUAAUUAUGUGAUUGCCACCGAUGUCGAUAAUUUGUAUGAUAUUAAUUAAAUGUUAGGGCAUCUCCAAGGCGGACCCGUAAACCUCAUGUAACCAUUCAGACCGUGCUUUCCGGACCGCGGAAGCCGUCCAACGCCAUCCUUUAUCGGUCCGCGGGACGGUCCAGAAGCGAUUAUCCGGCAAAACGGAGACAAAAGUGUGGGAGGUUUACGAGAGUCCGUACACGCGAAACGUACGAAUCCGACACCCCAGGCCCACCCAAAACCCUUUCCUGACCCCGCGACUCCAUCCUUCCUAUUUUCUCUCCUUCCUCCUUUCUCUUUUGCUGUCACCGCCGCUCCACUACCCCGACCACCACGCCACACCCCUGUCGAAAAUCUGCGUCUGCAUCAAUAAAUUCGGCGCCUAAUUAUAUUUCUUUACGGAGGGAGUACCUUAUUAGAAAUCAUACAUGUUGUGCCGCUUAUUCGAAUAUAUUACCAAAUGUUCUACUUAGACAAUUUUUUUUGCACAAUGACAUUCCAAUGCUUUUUUUUGACAAAAAUGACGUUCCAAUCCUUAUUUAUAUGUCGGUGUCACAUGUGUUAAUUUUGCAACGUAUACAUAACAUUACCCAUUAGGAUUGAGCCUCUAUCUUUACUGUAAGCCCUACGAUAUUUGACAAUCCAUCGUACACCAUUGGACAGUUUGUUUUUUUCAAAGGGCAUCCGAUGCUAUGUAGUUCUAAGCUUAUUUCUAGUUACUCGCAAGACUCCGACAGAGUAUAUCAUGUGGAAUUUCUUGUUCUUAUGGUUAGGAUGAACCGUUGCAACCUCUCGCAAUAAAUAAUUGUGCAAAAAAAAUUAUGAUCAUCACAAUAAUAUUAGGUCUUGGGACCAUGACUUAUUACAUAAUCAGUUUAUCCACUCUACAUAAAGCAGGGGACUCACAUAGACACAUGCAUAUUGGAUACUACAUUAUGGAAGGCGUGCAUGCAUCCCUAACCGAUCACACCCUUAGCUGCACCUGGG